CCUACGGGCGGCAGCAGUGAGGAAUAUUGGUCAAUGGACGAGAGUCUGAACCAGCCAAGUAGCGUGAAGGAUGACUGCCCUAUGGGUUGUAAACUUCUUUUAUAUGGGAAUAAAAUGUUCCACGUGUGGGAUUUUGUAUGUACCAUAUGAAUAAGGAUCGGCUAACUCCGUGCCAGCAGCCGCGGUAAUACGGAGGAUCCGAGCGUUAUCCGGAUUUAUUGGGUUUAAAGGGAGCGUAGGUGGAUUGUUAAGUCAGUUGUGAAAGUUUGCGGCUCAACCGUAAAAUUGCAGUUGAAACUGGCAGUCUUGAGUACAGUAGAGGUGGGCGGAAUUCGUGGUGUAGCGGUGAAAUGCUUAGAUAUCACGAAGAACUCCGAUUGCGAAGGCAGUUCACUGGACUGCAACUGACACUGAUGCUCGAAAGUGUGGGUAUCAAACAGGAUUAGAUACCCUUGUAGUC
rnacentral:rRNA from 1 species